rnacentral:ncRNA from 1 species
GAACUCAGCAAAAUAAGCUUGUAACUUCAGGAGAAGAGGUUCCCUUGUCGCAGAGGAGGUCGUGGUGAGUCGGUGACUAGACCUAGGUGAUUGUUUACCAAAAACAUAGAUAUCCGCAAAGUUGUAAGACCAUGUAUGGGGUUGACGCUUAUCCAGUACCGAAAGGUCAAGAAAGUUGGUAACCCAAUGAUAAGGAAGUCGGUAACCGAAACGCUAGUGAACGGUGGCCAUAACUAUAACGAUCCUAAGAUAGCAUAAUUCCUUGUUGAGUAAGUUCCGACAGUUUGGAAUAUCCUAAUCAUUUUUAUUGC